UGAAUUUUUAAAGGGCCGCGGUAUUCCUGACCGUGCGAAGGUAGCAUAAUCAUUAGUCUUUUAAUUUGAGGCUUGUAUGAAUGGUCGGACGAGGGAUAAACUGUUUCAAAUAAAAAACUCGAACUUAACUUUUAAGUGAAAAGGCUUAAAUACUUCAAAAAGACGAUAAGACCCUAUAAAUCUUAACAUUAAGUUCCGUGUUAUUCUAGCUUAUUAGUGUAAAGAAACUCACAGAAAAAAUGUUGUGUUGGGGCAACAAAGAUAUAUAAACUAACUGUCUUAUUAUUUAAACAAAAAUCGUUGAACUUCUAUAGAUCCUUUUUCAAGAUUUUAAGAUCAAGUUACUUUAGGGAUAACAGCGUUAUUCUUUUUAAGAGUCCUCAUCGAAAAAAGAGUUUGCGACCUCGAUGUUGAAUUAGAAGAUCU
rnacentral:rRNA from 1 species